rnacentral:rRNA from 1 species
AUUUAAAGUGGUACGCGAGCUGGGUUUAGAACGUCGUGAGACAGUUCGGUCCCUAUCUGCCGUGGGCGUUGGAAGAUUGAAGGGGGCUGCUCCUAGUACGAGAGGACCGGAGUGGACGAACCUCUGGUGUUCGGGUUGUCAUGCCAAUGGCAUUGCCCGGUAGCUAAGUUCGGAAUCGAUAAGCGCUGAAAGCAUCUAAGCGCGAAGCGAGCCCUGAGAUGAGUCUUCCCUGGCACUUUAAGUGUCCUAAAGGGUUGUUCGAGACUAGAACGUUGAUAGGCAGGGUGUGUAAGUGCUGYGAGGCAUUGAGCUAACCUGUACUAAUUGCCCGUGAGGCUUAACCAUACAACACCCAAGGGGUUU